rnacentral:rRNA from 1 species
CUGGCUCAGAACGAACGCUGGCGGCAGGCCUAACACAUGCAAGUCGAGCGCCCCGCAAGGGGAGCGGCGGACGGGUGAGUAACGCGUGGGAACGUGCCUCUUGCUACGGAAUAGCCUCGGGAAACUGGGAGUAAUACCGUAUAAGCCCUACGGGGGAAAGAUUUAUCGGCAAGAGAUCGGCCCGCGUUGGAUUAGGUAGUUGGUGGGGUAAUGGCCUACCAAGCCGACGAUCCAUAGCUGGUUUGAGAGGAUGAUCAGCCACACUGGGACUGAGACACGGCCCAGACUCCUACGGGAGGCAGCAGUGGGGAAUCUUAGACAAUGGGCGCAAGCCUGAUCUAGCCAUGCCGCGUGAGCGAUGAAGGCCUUAGGGUUGUAAAGCUCUUUCGUGGGGGAAGAUAAUGACUGUACCCCAAGAAGAAGCCCCGGCUAACUCCGUGCCAGCAGCCGCGGUAAUACGGAGGGGGCUAGCGUUGUUCGGAAUUACUGGGCGUAAAGCGCACGUAGGCGGACUGGAAAGUCAGAGGUGAAAUCCCAGGGCUCAACCUUGGAACUGCCUUUGAAACUCCCAGUCUUGAGGUCGAG